UACGGAGGGUGCAAGCGUUGUCCGGAUUUAUUGGGUUUAAAGGGUGCGUAGGCGGCUGAUUAAGUCUGGGGUGAAAGCCCGUUGCUCAACAACGGAACUGCCCUGGAAACUGGUUAGCUUGAGUACAGACGAGGGUGGCGGAAUGGAUACUGUAGCGGUGAAAUGCAUAGAUAGUAUCCAGAACCCCCGAUUGCGAAGCAGCUGCCUAGACUGUAACUGACGCUGAGGCACGAAAGCGUGGGGAGCGAACAGG
rnacentral:rRNA from 1 species